CUGAGGGCAUGCUUCCUCUCUGGAGAACCCGUCCUGGGUCCUGGAGAUAAUGACACUUCGGAAAGGAAAACCAUCGUCAAUUCCCCAAGGAUAGGCGGGCAGAAGAAUUUCUUUCUGGUGAAACCCAAAGAAAUUGCUGUGGGACCAGAUAAGAAAGAAGAAAGCUGUGUUACCCUUGAACUACAGGCUGCCCUUUGCUGGCUGAGAUUCGUCAUCAUUCAGGGGAUGCUGAAUUCUGAACGGGAGGAAGAUGAGCCAAGCCAAAGGAGGGGAGGACUCCAGACAGGUGAUGAGUAGGCAUCUCGUUAACGGAAGACGCUGGGGACGGGGCGAGGAAGUGACCUGGGAGCCUGACAGGCAGCAAGAAGUCGAGAACAAGGGAAAUUUCAACCUAGAACACAGCAGCCCACACACAUGUUCGGGGCUUCGUGGAGCAGAUGCCUCUCUUAAUACGCAGCAUGAGAAUUCAGUGACCAGCAGUGGCUGCGCUGAACACACAAGGGCCCCACAUCAGCUGAGGGAAGAGACCAAAGGGGGUGACAGGGCACAAAGGGGCCCCUGGUGGUGGGGCGGGGGGGGGNGGCGGGGGGGGGGGGGGGGGGGGGGGGGGGAAGGGUGGGAAAGGGAUUCAGUGAGAAAUUACUUCCUGGCAACCAUGGUCCCUGGACACAGAGCAGAUCACUGAAGGAGGUGGUGGCAUUGCCUUGGAGGAAAAAAAGUAGAUUGUUUGAGAUGGUACCAGUCAGAGGGCUAUGGAAUGAGCCAGCCAGACAUAGUAGGGUAAGAAACUAGUGGCCCCUGGGCCAUCUCCUUGACCUGAAUUAUGUUUUUAAGAUAAUCGUGGGAAAAAGCACAAUUCAAAAAGAUACACACCUCAAUGUUCAUUUAGAAUAGCUAAGACAUGGAAGCAACCUAAAUGCCCAUCGACAGAGGAAUGGAUAAAGACAGGAUGUGGUACAUAUACACAAUGGAAUAUUACUCAGCCAUAAAAAAGAACGAAAGAAUGCCAUUUGCAGCAACAUGCAUGGGCCUAGAGAUGAUCAUACCAAGUGAAGUAAGCCAGACAAAGACAAAUACCAGGAAUUCCUGUCCUGAUGCAGCAGAAACGAAUCCGAUUAGGGACCAUGAGGACAUGGGUUCGAUCCCUGGCCUUGCUCAGUGGGUUAAGGAUCUGGCAUUGCCGUGAGCUGUGGUAUAGGUCACAGACAAGGCUCGGAUCCUGUGUUGCUGUGGCUGUGGUGUAGGCCAGCAGCUGCAACUCCAAUUCAACCCCUGACCUGGGAAUCUCCAUAUGCCGCAAGUGUGACCCUAAAAAGCAAAAAAAUAAAAACAAAAAGCAAAAAAAAAGUGUGAUAGCA
rnacentral:lncRNA from 1 species